CCCCGACGUGCCGCCGCCAUGCCCCUCCCCAGCUGCGCGCUCACGGUCUUCUGCAUCCAGCACCGCUGACAGGCAACCUCUUCUCCAAUUUCUUUGCAUUAUGACAUUCAGUUGCGGUUCAACAAAAGAACAACAGUAGUACAUACAUCUCUUUCCUCUCUACUGCUCUUUUCUGUCGCUAAUUUGUUUCUCUCUAUACUGCAGCACGAGGGGGGUUGGACGAACUGCAAGACAAAAAAGCUCAGUUCUACACACAGGCCCAGCCAGAUCCUGUGGGCGAAAGUCGCCGGAGCCGACGGGUGUUCGCGUGUUGAGGUGCUGGAGUGCUGCUUCUCUGCCGAGGACGCCGUGCUGCACCGGCGCCGCCACAUGUCCGAUUUCUCCUUUGGUGAAUGAAGCCUCGGGGCCAGCAGCCACAUGCGCUACAGAAUACAAGUGUUUGCAGUUUGCUCACCAGAAUGUUGAAUGAGAGUACAUCAUUAUUACUCAAAAAAUUAUUUUGUAUUUCUUCAGAAUUGUUCUCCGUAUCCGUGGCAAAGAAUGAUUUUUUUCUGGUUUAAUGCAAUCCUCCUGUGUCAACCCGGCAAUUCGACCCAUGGGCGGCCGCGCCCAUGGACACCCGAUCCGAAUGGGCAGGGUAUGGGUCGCCAUAUUCAUUCAUGGGUAAGCCCGAUGGGUAACCCGAUUAGUCAUGGGUAGGGUAUGGGCAUAAUGUUCUACCCAUGGGUUGCCCGAUGGGUCACCCGAUUAGUAUAAGUGAUUAAAGUAUAUUAUUAUUUUAUAUUAUGUGUGGACAUUUUGGUGAAGAUACUUGCUAGUAAUUAAU